GACGAACGCUGGCGGCGGGCUUAACACAUGCAAGUCGAACGGAAAGGCCCUGCGUUUGUGGGGUGCUGGAGGGGCGAACGGGUGAGGAACAGGAGAGUAACCUGCCCUAGACUUUGGGAGAACUUCAGGAAACGGGGGCUAAUACCGGAUAGGAGCUCCUGCUGCAUGGAGGGGGGGGGAAAGUUUCGGCGGUUGGGGAUGGACUAGCGGCUGAUGAGCUAGUUGGUGGGGUAGUGGCUUACCAAGGCUUUGACGGGUAGCCGGCCUGAGAGGGUGACCGGCCACCUUGGGCCUGAGAUACGGCCCAGACUCCUACGGUAGGCAGCAGUGGCGAAUAUUGCACAAUGGGCGGACGCCUGAUGCAGCAACGCCGCGUGCGGGAUGACGGCCUUCGGGUUGUAAACCGCUUUCGCCUGUGACGCAGCGUGUGUGACGGUACUCGGUAAAGAAGCACCGGCUAACUACGUG
rnacentral:rRNA from 1 species